CUGCCCCGGGGCCCCGGCUCUGCAAGCAAACAGGCCGAGCGCGGCGCUGCAUCCGAAAUGCGGCAUUUGAGCAGCGCGGCGAAGGCGAGCGGGGGAGCGGCCCACCCGGGUAAUUGCCCUUCUCGGCUCCUAAUCCCCCCGCCGGGCCCCUUCCGCCGGCUGCAGCCCAUUGAUUAGCUCAGGAGCCGCCGGCUCAACCCAGCUCCCGAGGGGCCAUCACAAUCCCCACCCUGGGCCCGGGAGGCUGUCAGGACCCCCGCGGGGUCCUUCCGGACUCAGAGCGGGAGCGUGCUCCUGGAAAGGGCAGUGAGAUCGCCAGGGAAAAGAUGGGGUGGGGGAGAAAGGGGACGUCCAAAAACUUGCAAUGGAGCCCAGGCCAUGCACGCCCCAGGCCGAGAAAGGCGGGACCUCAGACCCUGCUGUCCCGGUGAAGGAGACAGUGCAGAGGGCCCUUGAGCGCGACUGGGCUUGACACCCCUGAGAGCUCACUGUGGAGCCCGGGUUAGGAGAUCCCCAACCACCCAAACACAAAUCACCCUCAAGACCCCGUACUUAUGCGGUGGCCUGAGCCUGCUUCCUGUGGUCUGCCCAGAGAAACCUGGGCCUCACAGGAGAGGAAUGCCAAGUGCUUCAAGCUGGGAAAUUGACAUGGUCCAUUCUACAAAAUAGAGCUCAGUGCAGAUGAGGAGAGAAAUAGGGUUCUAUGGAGCCUUUCGGGGCAAACCCACUGAUGACUGGGUGAUAGCUUCACAGGGACAAGACCCAGUUGCCAUCUGGGGUGAGUUUUGUUUCUUCCCUCCCACCUUUCAGCUUCCUAUCUGAGCCUGAACUUACACCCCUUCCCCCUCCCAGAAUAGCCACCCCAGGCCAGGAAAACUGAGCAUUUGCCUACUGAGUCGACCUCCCUGAGUCUAGGCCCACAGUUCAAAGCCUGACUUCUCUGUGCAGGGGCAAGGCUUGCUGCGGGGCCCUCUGGGAUCUGGUGAGCAGGGGCCUUCUCUGACACCCUGAAACCUGGGAACAAACACUGGGGUUGGGGGCAGAGGCUGGGCCAAUGUAGAACACAACAGCAGAGACACAGGAGAGAAAUCAGGCUUCUGGCUAAGAGGAAACCAUAGCAAACUAGACCCUCAUGCCUCAGUGACCUCCCCUU
rnacentral:lncRNA from 1 species